GGACUACACGGGUUUCUAAUCCUGUUUGCUACCCACGCUUUCGCGUCUCAGCGUCAAUGUCCGUCCAGAUGGCCGCCUUCGCCACUGUGUUCCACCCGAUAUCUACGAAUUUCACCUCUACACCGGGUAUUCCGCCAUCCUCUCCGGCAUUCAAGCCAGGUAGUAUCCCGCGCACUUCGUCAGUUGAGCUGACGGAUUUCACACGGGACUGGCCCGGCCGCCUACACGCGCUUUACGCCCAAUAAUUCCGAACAACGCUUGCACCCCCUGUAUUACCGCGGCUGCUGGCAC
rnacentral:rRNA from 1 species